rnacentral:lncRNA from 1 species
CUUAAAUUAAGAACCAUAAAUAACCAUUCUGCCUCACACACAUGCUAACAAUAUAAAUUGACUAAAAUUUAGUGUAAAAGAGGAUCCAGAACUUAACUAAAUAUGCAAAUAUCCCAAACUUCAUAACAGUUCUAGACCAAGUACCACGCUAGGGUGUUCAAUUAUACAACAUCAAUACCUAAUCAACAAUUCAGCUAGACAGAAUGUUACCCAGGCUUUCAUGGCCAUCCCAAGUUAAACACAAUAGUAGAAACUGACCCCACCCAUAGCUUAUUCAAUCAACAUGACAACAUCAAAUUUUAAAAGAAAAUCAGAAUAACACAAUUGAAUCAACAGAAUAAAGAUAUGCUCUAAACUUCUGCCUUGCAUUCUUAUUCCUCAAAUCAAAACCUCACAAACAAGAGAUGUACAAGAGCAUGUACCUGGAAAGUAAAAUAACAGCAAAAGUGAGAAGCUCAGCAGUAAGCAGUAGCAGUUAGCCCAGAUUCAUCAAUCAGAACGAUGAAAUCAGCUCAAAAAUCUAAUGGAACAGUAACCCUCAACAAAGCUUGAACCAAAACUUUUCAAAACAUAAUAUCAAUCCAUUUCAAAUCCCAUAAUGAGAAACUAUUGUUUUCCGAAAUUGAAAGAAUCAGAAAUCACUGAAGAAGUUCAAUGAAACAGUAAAAAUUCAGUCGUUUGUAUUUUCUCUGGAUUUUUAUCCAAUUUUUUAGUCUUUUUUAGCCGUUUCUUAUUUUUGAACUUUUUUUCCUUCAAAAUCUGCCUUGAAAUGCAAGGUAAGGUGCCUUUAUAGGCAAGCUAUUAGGGCAGCCUAAGGGAUCAAUUUUUGCACUUUGCACCUUUUCUAAUUUUCAUUUUAGCUUAGGUAUCCCUAUUUUAAAUCUCAGAACUUCACAAUAGUCCCCCUCCCCAGCUUCCUAGAAACUUCCUAAUCAGUUAUCCAAAGAUUCCCUUACCUAGACUACCCAAACUACCCCUUAAGCCCCUGAAUAUUACUUCAGAAUUCCAAAUGGAUCAAAUUGACCCAAUGACUUAUCCCAAAUUGAGGAGCUGCACUUUGCAAAAAUGGCCAGAAAUAAUACUAAAGCCAAAACAAUAAAAUGACCCAGUUAAAUUCUAUAAGCAUCCGGAAAAAUCAACAUGACACAAACACUGAAACGACUUCCAUAAUCGAAAAAUCUAACUAAGCUACUGGUUAAUUAGCACAAACAUGCAGGGAUUUAACUAAGUUGUCAAAGCAACCUAAUUAAAUUAAACUAAGUGGCUAAAACAAAAAGUGAAAUCAGAAAUUGAACAUACUCCUGACACAAACCAAUCAGACCAAUAAAAUUUAGAAAGGCAAAAUUGAAAAAGCAAUAAACGGAUAGUCCACAAUUUUUAGCUAAACUUUGUUCAAGUUUCCAUUCAAUUAAUCAGAGAGGGAGAGAAUAAAUGAGGAGGAAGGAAGACUGAAGGAACACAAGAACGAAAGAAGAAAUAAGAAACUCACCAACCUAUGCUUCAAACUCACGAUUAACUUUCUGAUUUAGUCCCCAAAUAAUGUCAUCUGCUUGUUCCUUGUGAAGAACAAGAAAGCAACGUUAUUCUUGGACCAAACUGGCCUUGAAUGCUAAGGAAACUUUGAAGGAUAUCCCUGCAUGAACGAACCCGGCUAUGGCUUCUAGGGCUCGAACCUAGAUUUGAGAUUCAAGGAGUUUAGGCCAUGUUUGAGAGGAAUGGAGUGGGGAUUUGGAAAGGGGGGAGUGAGGUAAGGGUUCUAUGAUAUCAACUUGGGGCUGGUCGGAGGUGGCGCUGUCGGCUGAGGCGGUGGAAAAUUAGGGCGGCUUCUCUAGGGUUUGGUUGAAGAUGAAGAGACUGAGGGGGUU